rnacentral:misc_RNA from 1 species
GAAAUGCGAUAAGUAAUGUGAAUUGCAGAAUUCAGUGAAUCAUCGAAUCUUUGAACGCACAUUGCGCCCCGUGGUAUUCCGCGGGGCAUGCCUGUUCGAGCGUCAUUGACACCCCUCAAGCCCCGGCUUGGUAUUGGGCGCCGCGCACCGCCGCGCGCCUCGAAGUCCUCGGCCGAGCCGCCCGCUCCCCGGCGUUGUGACCACACUCGUGUUCGCCGCGGGACCGCGGGCCGGCCCCGGCCGUCAAAACGCACCCCCUUCAGUGUUGACCUCGGAUCAGGUAGGGAUACCCGCUGAACUUAA